rnacentral:lncRNA from 1 species
CGCUCAUCUAUAAAGACUUCCGAGGGGAUAGUGGUGGUCGUGAUGUGGCCGAGCUCUUCUACCGGAAGCUGACGGGACUGCCGGGAGGCGAGUCCCCGGUUGUCAUGGUAACUACUGUGGCAGGCGAGCAGGGGCUUAGAACUGUGGAGGUGGGUGGGUGCCUCAUCUCUCCCUGUCAAGGGCGGCUUGGUAGGAAGAAGCUUUUUUUUUUUUU